AGAGUUUGAUCCUGGCUCAGGAUGAACGCUAGCGGCAGGCUUAAUACAUGCAAGUCGUGGGGCAGCGCAGUGUAGCAAUACAUGGGCGGCGACCGGCAAACGGGUGCGGAACACGUACACAACCUUCCUACAAGUGGGGAAUAGCCCAGAGAAAUUUGGAUUAAUACCCCGUAACAUAUAGAGAUGGCAUCAUUUUUAUAUUAUAGCUAUGGCGCUUGUUGAUGGGUGUGCGGCUGAUUAGGUAGUUGGCGGGGUAACGGCCCACCAAGCCUUCGAUCAGUAGCUGAUGUGAGAGCAUGAUCAGCCACACGGGCACUGAGACACGGGCCCGACUCCUACGGGAGGCAGCAGUAAGGAAUAUUGGACAAUGGGCGCAAGCCUGAUCCAGCCAUGCCGCGUGAAGGAUUAAGGUCCUCUGGAUUGUAAACUUCUUUUAUAAGG
rnacentral:rRNA from 1 species